rnacentral:rRNA from 1 species
GACGAACGCUGGCGGCGUGCUUAACACAUGCAAGUCGAGCGGAAAGGCCCUGCUUUUGUGGGGUGCUCGAGUGGCGAACGGGUGAGUAACACGUGAGUAACCUGCCCUUGACUUUGGGAUAACUUCAGGAAACUGGGGCUAAUACCGGAUAGGAGCUCCUGCUGCAUGGUGGGGGUUGGAAAGUUUCGGCGGUUGGGGAUGGACUCGCGGCUUAUCAGCUUGUUGGUGGGGUAGUGGCUUACCAAGGCUUUGACGGGUAGCCGGCCUGAGAGGGUGACCGGCCACAUUGGGACUGAGAUACGGCACAGACUCCUACGGGAGGCAGAAGUGGGGAAUAUUGCACAAUGGGCGGAAGACUGAUGCAGCAACGCCGCGUGCGGGAUGACGGCCUUCGGGUUGUAAACCGCUUUCGCCUGUGACGAAGCGUGAGUGACGGUAAUGGGUAAAGAAGCACCGGCUAACUACGUG